rnacentral:lncRNA from 1 species
GUCAAGACAAAACUUUGUCUUUCCAAACUAUCUUUCCCUUUUUGCAGACAGGAGUCUCUUCUGUUGAAAACCUGCCCUUCCACCACAUUUUAGUAGAUGAUCUGAUCAUACACACAAAGGGGUGUAUUGAAAUUAAGCCUAGGAGAAGUAAAUGCCUUGCCAAGAUCCCUGCUUCAGUUCCAAGCCUGCUCUGACCAAGCCUUGCAAGUUAUGCCAAGAGUCUAGAGGGACGGAAGACUCCAGGAGAUGCCAGAUGUGGUCGUGACAAACAACAGUCCAGUUCCCAACGUUUGCAAAUACUUAGAUGAUCAGACACCAAGCAAAUGCAGAGAGAUACCCAAGGGCAUCUGCAUGAUUGGUGUGGGCAAUAUGGGAUUUAGGGAAGGGCAAGGUGACCGACAAAAGAAAAUACAAUGAAGCUCAAUUGCCGUCUUAAAUCUCAUGCCUGGAGAGAGU